UACGGGGGGGGCAAGCGUUGUUCGGAAUUACUGGGCGUAAAGGGCUCGUAGGCGGCCAACUAAGUCCGACGUGAAAUCCCCAGGCUUACCUACGGUGAACUGCGUGUCGAUACUGGAUGGCUUGAAUCGGGAGAGGGAUGCAGAAUUCCAGGUGUAGCGGUGAAAUGCGUAGAUAUCUGGAGGAAUACCGGUGGCGAAGGCGGCAUCCUGGACCGACAUUGACGCUGAACGGCGAAAGCUAGGGGAGCAAACGGG
rnacentral:rRNA from 1 species